CCCUCACAGAGUUCCUGGAACUCUGCCUGCUUCAGCCGCCUUCCUCACUCGCUCCACUGGGGCCUCCGGAUCCACUCAAGAAUAAAAUCCCUUGCUCGGGUGACUGAAACUCCAUUGCAAGCCAGUGGCACACGCCUUUAAUCCCAGCACUCGGGAGGCAGAGGCAGGCCAAUCUCUGCAAGCCACAGAACGUGUACCUCCAAUUCCUCAGCUAUAAGACAGAGAAAACCGUUACUCCCAGGAGUAGGUCAACAUUUGGUAAAUUAAGACCUUGGAAACCACAUAUAUGUGUGUUGGGGGUAAGGAGUGGAUCAGAGACGCCCAAGUGUGCCACAUUAAGGACUUCAAGCUGGCGAUUAUGGACCAGAACACUGAGUGAGAAAUGACAGUCUUUACUUAGAGAGCUGACUAGACAAGAAGGUGGUCAGGUUAAUCUCCAAAGCACGGGUUCUGUCUUGCGUCUCAUCUCUUGCCAGCAGGCUUUGUAGGGAAGGGUGGAAACAAGGGUAGUCCAUCAGUCCUUCCAGGGUUCAGUCUCCCUCGUUGUCUAGAGAUCUGGACUCGGAGACUUUGAAAAUGUUGACUGGGGGACAAGUGAGGUGAUCCAUCGGGUAUAGGCUCCUGCUGACCGGAGGUCAAUCCCUGUGUCCCACAUGGUGGAAGGAGAGAUCGAGCUCUCACAAGUUGCCAUACAUGUGAACCACCAUGCAUGUAACACCCACACCCAAAAUAAAUGUAAGGAAAACUAAAA